ensembl:lncRNA
CAGCGGGCCAAACUGCGGCACAGCUGAAGUCAUCUACAAGAAGAUGGAUGAGGCCAUGCAGAAAAACGCCAUACCAUGGAGAAACUGUGUCAGUCUGUCAGUUGAUAAUGCCCCUGUCAAUACAGGAGCAAGGAACUCCAUCGCAUCCAGAGCUCAUCAAGAACAUGGCAGUAUCUACAUCCAUGGGUGCCCUUGUCACAUCAUCAGGCCAAACACUGCCAAACAGGCUGGCCAGGCCUUUUUGGAGGUGUGUGGAUUUGAUCCAGAGGAUCUCGCUGUGGAUGUUGGAUAUUGGUUUAAAGGAAGCACCAAUCGCAAAUGUUACCUAACAGAAUUCUGUGAGCUCCAUGGAAGUGAGUAUAUGGAAAUGCUCAUGCACGUUUCUGUUCGA